rnacentral:pre_miRNA from 1 species
AUUCUACUCCCUAUGUUCCACAAUACUACAUGCCUUCUAUUUGUCAAAAUAUAUAUGUAUCUAGACAUGUCUUAGUAUAUAGGUACAUCCAUUUUUGGACAAAUGGAAGUCAAGUAUUUUGGAACGGAGGGAGUACACA